GGAGUCACGCCGAAAUCUUACCCGGAGAGACAGCAGAAUGAAGGUCAAGCUGAAGACUUUACCAGACAAGCUGAGAGGUGGUGCAUGGCCGUCGCCAGCUCGUGCCGUGAGAUGUCCUGUUAAGUCAGGUAACGAGCGAGAUCCUCGCCACUAGUUGCUAUCGUUAUUCUCAGGAAUAGUGGGGCGAAUUAGUGGGACUGCCGUUGUUAAAACGGAGGAAGGAGGGGGCUACGGCAGGUCAGUAUGCCCCGAAACUCUGGGGCCACACGCGGGCUGCAAUGGUAGCGAUAAUGAGCUCCAAACUCGAAAGAGAGUGGCAAUCUCUAAACGCUACCACAGUUAUGACUGAGGGCUGUAACUCGCCCUCACGAAUAUGGAAUCCCUAGUAACCGCGUGUCAUUACCGCGCGGUGAAUACGUCCCUGCUCCUUGCACACACCGCCCGUCGUUUCAUCGAAGUUUGCUUUUAGCGAGGUGAUGUUUAAUUGACAUUAUCGAACUUGAGGUAAGUGACGAGGGAAAAGUCGUAACAAGGUGACCGUAGGGGAACCUGCGGUCGGAUCA
rnacentral:rRNA from 1 species